ACUGCUUCUCGGCCUUUUGGCUAAGAUCAAGUGUAGUAUUUGUUCUUGGCGUGGGGGGGGAUGCUUGCUAAGCUAAGGGAUGCAUGUAGUUGCCCCUCCUCACCGCUGGGCGGAGAACCACUU
ensembl:snRNA U2 U2 spliceosomal RNA